rnacentral:lncRNA from 1 species
GCCGGCCCUCAGGAAGGGCCUCUGGGUGGCCUCUGCAUCCCUGGCUGGAGAAUGCGCACAGUUUGCAGAGGCUCAGAACUCCCAAUCGUCCACCUCCAGCUCUUCCAGGUUUGUUACCAGGCCAAAGAUUCCACUGUGGUCCUGAGACUGGCUGCCCUCAAAAUUGGUGAUGGGGGUGACAGGACGAAGCAAUUCGGGCAAAGCCUCUGAGGCACGUCGCUUGAUCUGGGGGAGAAGAGAGAGGUCCUUCUCAGCCAACCUUUCUGACUCACUAUGGCCAGGACACCGGAAACAUGGCAGCCACAAAGGAAAGAUGGCAAAAGAGCUUCUUUCCUGGAAGUUUGAUCUCUUCCCAUACUUGGCAUAAAAAAACAGAGAAG